GACGAACGCUGGCGGCGUGCUUAACACAUGCAAGUCGAACGAAGAGCGAUGGAAGCUUGCUUCUAUCAAUCUUAGUGGCGCACGGGUGAGUAACGCGUAAUCAACCUGCCCUUCAGAGGGGGACAACAGUUGGAAACGACUGCUAAUACCGCAUACGAUCUAACCUCGGCAUCGAGGAUAGAUGAAAGGUGGCCUCUACAUGUAAGCUAUCACUGAAGGAGGGGAUUGCGUCUGAGUAGCUAGUUGGAGGGGUAACGGCCCACCAAGGCGAUGAUCAGUAGCCGGUCUGAGAGGAUGAACGGCCACAUUGGGACUGAGACACGGCCCAGACUCCUACGGGAGGCAGCAGUGGGGAAUCUUCCGCAAUGGACGAAAGUCUGACGGAGCAACGCCGCGUGAGUGAUGACGGCCUUCGGGUUGUAAAGCUCUGUUAAUCGGGACGAAAGGCCUUCUUGCGAAUAGUGAGAAGGAUUGACGGUACCGGAAUAGAAAGCCACGGCUAACUACGUG
rnacentral:rRNA from 1 species